rnacentral:rRNA from 1 species
UACAGAGGGUGCGAGCGUUGUUCGGAAUUACUGGGCGUAAAGCGUGCGCAGGCGGUUUUGUAAGCCAGAUGUGAAAUCCCCGGGCUCAACCUGGGAAUGGCAUUUGGGACUGCAAGGCUUGAGUGCGGCAGAGGAGACUGGAAUUCCUGGUGUAGCAGUGAAAUGCGUAGAUAUCAGGAGGAAUACCGAUGGCGAAGGCAGGUCUCUGGGCUGACACUGACGCUCAUGCACGAAAGCGUGGGGAGCAAACAGG